rnacentral:tRNA from 1 species
UGGCUCAGACGGUAAAAGCAUCUGCCUACAAUGCAGGAGACCAGGGUUUGAUCCCUG